rnacentral:pre_miRNA from 1 species
AAUAGAUGACGCCAUUGACUUUUUCUCACAUGUUUGACCAUUCGUCUUAUUUAAAAAAUUUACGUAAUUAUAAUUUAUUUUGUUAUGAGUUGUUUUAUCACUCAUAAUACUUUGUGUGAUUUAUAUCUUAUACAUUUGCUUAAAAUUUUUGAAUAAGACGAAUGGUCAAACCCGUGAGAAAAAGUCGACGAUGUUAUCUAUU